rnacentral:rRNA from 1 species
AGCUUGUUGGUAUUUUAUAACAGGUUUUUUCUGCCCGAUGCUUUAGUGGUGAAUGGCCGCGGUAUCUUGACCGUGCAAAGGUAGCAUAAUCAUUUGUCUUUUAAUUGGGGACUGGUAUGAAGGAAAGGUUGAGAUUUUGAUUGUCUCUUUUGUUGGUUUGGAAUUUGCUGUUUUUGUGAAGAAGCAAAAGUAACAAAAAAGGACAAGAAGACCCUAUUAAGCUUUAUUUUUGGUUUUGCAUUGUUUUUAUUUGUGAAAAUAUUGAGGUGUGAUUCUAAAAUUUGGUUGGGGUGACUAAAGAAGCAGUUUAUCUUCUUUAUUAUUUUAAACUUUUGGUUUAAUAGAGACCCAGAUUUUCUGGUUGUAAGAAUUAGUUACUAUAGGGAUAACAGCGUAAUCUUUUCAUAAAGUUCUUAUUGAAGAAAAGGUUUGCGACCUCGAUGUUGACUUAUUGUUACCUUUUAAGGUGUAGCAGCUGUUAGGGUUGGUCUGUUCGACUAUUAAAACGAU